rnacentral:tRNA from 1 species
GGCAACGUGGCCGAGUGGUCUAAGGCGCUACGUUCAGGUGGAAGCAUCCUCGUAGUCUCGAAAGAGGCGUGUGUUCGAGUCACACCGUUGUCA